CAUCCAACUAGUGACCCAGAAACAGAUCAGACUGGAAAGGGAAACCAGAAGUUAGCAAAACAAGUCACCUCAUCAGCUCCACCUCCACUGCAGGCUGCCAGCCAGCAGCCACUGCGGAUUCUCCCUGGCCUCUCUGGAAGGAGCCAUGGGAGGGAGACCUGCAGGCCUUCUCCGGAAGCAGGCUCACCUUUUCUCGGUCGGCUCACUGACUAAAAGCCUCCCAAGGACUUGCAUAAGAGAGCCCAUAAAAUCCUCACCAUCUCAACCAAAACAAGAGGAAAACACUGGCUGUCUGGAGCCCCCGUCUCUUGGAUCAUAAUUUACUUUGUUCUCCCUACAUUGCUAGGAGACAGGAAUCAUCAGUUCUCUUUUGUAAUAUGGAGCCCUGAGUAGUGGAAAGGGUGAGGAGCAUAGCCAAAGGCAUGCAGCAAGUCGGACUGAACAGAAGCAGAAGACAGUUCUCCCAGCCCAACAGGGCUCGGGGGCUCAGGCUCCGUCCUGGGCUUUGGUUAUACAGGAGCAAUGCCCAGAGUCAGAGCCAAGGACUGCACUGCCUCAGACGGAAUAGCUGCUGAGCCUUUGCUACCGGAGUAACCAGCACCCACAGCCGGGCACACAGACGGAACAGCUCAGCUCAAGGCCACCAGUCUGCUGACCUUUCUCAGAGACAGCUUCAGGGACACUCAUUCUGACUCUCACGAAAGGAUGCCCCUUUGUUUCCUGUAAAAGCAAGAGAAUGGAAUGGACUUGAUUUCAAAAGACACUGUUCUAGCCGGGGCAAGAAAAACAAAGCAGCAAGUGUUGGCAGCCUGGGUUGGUGUCCCAAGCCUGUGAUCCGAAGGUAGAGGCAGGAAAAUCCAACAUCCAAGGUCAGUUCAAAGCUAACCUGCAUGAAAUGAGACUUUGUUUGAAAAAACAAAACCAAACCAGACACCCAAGUCAAAACUACAACUCCCCACAAACAAACACAAACAAAACACAAGGCCUGCUGGCAGCGGUGGGAGAAAUUGCAAUCUUGAUACAGCGCUUCACUGGUGAGAGGGUGGCUUUGAGAAACUGAACAUAGAGUUACCAUAUGACUCAAAUGCCACGCCCGGAGGGCAACCUGCUAAGUGAAACAAGCCAUUCAGAAAAGGGCAAAGGCUGUGAGAUCCCACUUACAUGAUCCUCUCGUUCCAUCAGCAGUCACAAGGAAGCUGGACAGUGAGAACCAAGAUGCCGACAGCUGCUGCUUACCCCAGCAGCCCCUCCCUCAUGCCCAGUGAUGCUGGCUUGUACCCCGGGGCAUUCUCUUCUGGAGGCUUCACGUUCCCCAUGGAGUCCCUGCUCCUCUCCAAGUCAGAUUCUACGCGUGCUUCCAGGAGAGGCCGAAGCACGAGCGUUGUUCUUCAUUGGGUUGGCCUAGGUCACUCACCCAAAAUGGCUUUUCUCUUUGAAUUCUAAAUUGAUCUUUAACCCACAAAGGACUGCAGCGCCCUCCACAUGACAUAAAGGAAAUAAACUAAAUCAUAAAACAA